CAACGAAGAAAAAUAGUUCAUCUAUCUUUUCAAAAUCAAUUUGAUUUUUCUAAAACAAAGCAUCCACGAGACUCACAGGCAACUCCAAUAAUUACCCCUUCAUGUUCAUAGGAUAUGUUAGACAUUAGAAUCUUACCUAACGUAGGUUGAAGCUAACCUAGCGUGAGUGAAGUAAUUUGAAAAAUCGAACCAAAACUCCUGAAACUGAUCCAACCUUGGCAGACAAGGGGCAGAUUGAAAGAAUAGUGAAAUUCCACCCAAUCCAACCCAACGUAUGCAUUUCGUUUUAUACUCAUAAAUGUAAUAUAAUUAUUAUAUUAUUAAUACUUCAUUUUUUUUUCUAUUAAAAAGUUAGUGAAUACCACGCGUGAGUUUCAUGGUUUGAUGGACACUAACGAGACACUAAUACUGAUGUAUGACAUUUUGAUGUAUUUAAAAUAUUUUCAAACACUUUUUAAAAACAGGUUAAAUCUUAUUUAUAUAUUUGGAUGACUACCCAUUACCCUUACUUUAUAUAAAAUAUUCUACAUCGAUCCUUUGAAAUAUAUAACUUUUACAAAGCUAUUGUAGAGAAGAAGGAACGAGAAAUGAGAGGGACCUCUCUCUUCAUGAUCCAAAUAAUUGAACCAAAUAUAAUAUAUGCAGUUCUAGCAAUUGAAGCUGGAAAAGUGAGAUAGUGGUGGUGGAAAGAACUAUCUGAGAAGAAAUUUGUAUAUCAAACCCACGGCACAACUAAUCGAUCCACAAAAUGAAUAUUGGGAUAUGCAUAAAAUGAUGUUUGGAAGUGGCAGGACUCAGGAGUGAGAACAAAAAA